rnacentral:misc_RNA from 1 species
AACGCAAAUUGCACUCUCUUCGGAGAGUAUGCCUGUUUGAGGGUCGGUAUAAUAAAAAAUCGGUGUGUUGCCUUUUGGUGGCAUUCCGGAGUAUGGGUUACCUUAAAACAAUUAAGUGACUUAAAAUUGACAUCUUUUUUGCGCACUUUUAAGACGACGUAAAAUAAAUUGAUUUUUAUUCGUCUGUCCUGGUGGCAAAAGUUUAUUAGAUGCGAUCAUAUCGAGUGGUUUGUGUCUAUAAGAUCAUGAUUCGACCUCAAAUCAGGUAGGAGUACCCGCUGAACUUAA